CCGGGCGCUGGUGCGGCACGCCACCGGGAUCCUGGCCGGGCUGACCGCCGCCGAGGAGGAGGUCGCGGCGAUCGCCGGGCUGCGCUCGGGCC
rnacentral:tRNA from 1 species